rnacentral:misc_RNA from 1 species
GAAGAGUUAAACUCUACAGCAAAAAGUAGGAAAUGAAUUGAAAAGAGGAACAUCUGACCGUUUUGUAUAAAUGCUUACAAAUUGUAUAUUUAGGGUCUUAUGAUGUGUGUAUAAUGAUAUGUUAUUCCCGGUAAAAUACUCCAAUUUUGGAUAAACUCUUAAGGUCAUUACGAGUGAAGUGGUAAAGGGCAUUGAAAAGUUCUUUAACAUGCUAUUAUUUGUUAGACAAGCCACUGAGUAGACUCUAGAGUCCAAGUAACUUAGUAUCUAGCAGAUAAGAAGACAAAUCUUUUUAAGUUGAACUGUCUAAGAGGAUAUCAUUUACACCUUUUAGAAAGAGAGAUGCAAUA